AUUGAACGCUGGCGGCAGGCCUAACACAUGCAAGUCGAGCGGAGCGGCGGACGGGUGAGUAAUGCCUAGGAAUCUGCCUUGUAGUGGGGGAUAACGUCCGGCUACGGGCGCUAAUCCCGCAUACUAUCAGAUGAGCCUAGGUCGGAUGAGCUAGUUGGUGGGGUAAAGGCCUACCAAGGCGCCGAUCCGUAACUGGUCUGAGAGGAUGAUCAGUCACACGGGAAAUGAGACACGGUCCAGACUCCUACGGGAGGCAGCAGUGGGGAAUAUUGCACAAUGGGCGCAAGCCUGAUGCAGCCAUGCCGCGUGUGUGAAGAAGGCCUUCGGGUUGUAAAGCACUUUCAGCGGGGAGGCGUUACCCGCAGAAGAAGCACCGGCUAACUCCGUGCCAGCAGCCGCGGUAAUAC
rnacentral:rRNA from 1 species